UACGUAGGGUGCAAGCGUUGUCCGGAAUUAUUGGGCGUAAAGAGCUCGUAGGCGGUUUGUCGCGUCUGCUGUGAAAACCCGAGGCUCAACCUCGGGCCUGCAGUGGGUACGGGCAGACUAGGGUGCGGUAGGGGAGAUUGGAAUUCCUGGUGUAGCGGUGGAAUGCGCAGAUAUCAGGAGGAACACCAAUGGCGAAGGCAGAUCUCUGGGCCGUAACUGACGCUGAGGAGCGAAAGCAUGGGGAGCGAACAGG
rnacentral:rRNA from 1 species